AAACCAGCACCUCAAGUGGUCAGGAUGAUUAUUGGGCCUAAAGCAUCCGUAGCCUGCUCUGUAAGUUUUCGGUUAAAUCUGUACGCUUAACGUACAGGCUGCCGGGAAUACUGCAGAGCUAGGGAGUGGGAGAGGUAGACGGUACUCGGGAGGAAGUGGUAAAAUGCUUUGAUCUCUCGAUGACCACCUGUGGCGAAGGCGGUCUACCAGAACACGUCCGACGGUGAGGGAUGAAAGCUGGGGGAGCAAACCGGAUUAGAAACCCGGGUAGUCC
rnacentral:rRNA from 1 species